GUACAACUUCAGUUAUACAUAUUCUAAAAUUGGAAUGAUACAGAGAAGGUUAGUUUGGUUGGCACUUGUGUAAGGAUUACAUGCAAAAUUAUGAAGAUUUCUGCAUUUUU